UAUCUUUGCACCCGAAUUACAUAAUAAUCAUUAAAUAAUAUUGGAAUG
rfam:Epilithonimonas sp. FH1 contig06, whole genome shotgun sequence.